AAGAAAAAUCUACACUUCUCAAUAGCUUCAAAGAGUCGUCGAGGACACUGUCCAAGAUUUGAAACUUCUUGUUUAUCUCGUCCAACUCCAGUGGCUUGAUUGCUUUGGGAUUGUUUGGGUGCUGGUAUAGCGUGAUUGCUUUGGAGUUUUGUUGCUUCUCUUGAAGUUUUGGCUGCUGAUUGCUUGGAUUUGAGGUAGUCCAUAAAUGGACAAGUUAAUGAUGCUCUGGAGUAAUUGAAGUUUUGGUAUUAUUAUGUGAUGGUGUUGGCUAUGCUUCGCUUGUGUCCGGGUGCUUGUGUUAUCUUGGACUGCAUUGCUUUGUUACAUUUGAAUUGAGUAUGUUGUUGAUGUUACCUUGUUUUGAAUGUUAGAAUUUCUAUGUAGCUUUGAGGCAGCAAUCUGGUAAAGGUUUUGGUACCAAUGUGAUGGAUGGUUUUGAAAUCUAAGAAUUAUAUUGUAUCAAAUGCAAAGUUUGUUCUUAUACUUUUUGCAUAUCAAAUUAUGUUGUUCCUUUUGU